rnacentral:tRNA from 1 species
GCGUCUGUAGCCUAGUUGGUAAAGGCAGCACUCUGGAUGCUGAGGUCAUGGGUUCGACUCCCAUCAGACACA